rnacentral:rRNA from 1 species
ACGGAGGGGGCGAGCGUUGUUCGGAAUCACUGGGCGUAAAGGGCGCGUAGGCGGCAUUGUCAGUCAGGCGUGAAAGCCCGGGGCUCAACCCCGGAGUUGCGCUUGAUACUGCAACGCUUGAGACCGGGAGAGGGUAGUGGAAUUCCCAGUGUAGAGGUGAAAUUCGUAGAUAUUGGGAAGAACACCAGUGGCGAAGGCGGCUACCUGGCCCGGUUCUGACGCUGAGGCGCGAAAGCGUGGGGAGCAAACAGG